GACAGAGGGUGCAAACGUUGUUCGGAAUUACUGGGCGUAAAGCGCGUGUAGGCGGCCCUGCAAGUCGGAUGUGAAAUCCCACGGCUCAACCAUGGAAGUGCAUUCGAAACUGCAGAGCUAGAGUCCUGGAGAGGAAGGUGGAAUGCUUGGUGUAGAGGUGAAAUUCGUAGAUAUCAAGCGGAACACCGGUGGCGAAGGCGGCCUUCUGGACAGUGACUGACGCUGAGGUGCGAAAGCGUGGGGAGCAAACAGG
rnacentral:rRNA from 1 species